GAUGAACGCUGGCGGCGUGCCUAACACAUGCAAGUCGAACGGAGUCCAGCCUUUAAGACCUUCGGGUCAAAGAGGGGAAGACUGAGUGGCGGACGGGUGAGUAACACGUGGGCAACCUGGCUCAUAGAGGGGGAUAACAGAGAGAAAUUUCUGCUAAUACCGCAUAAGCGCACACUGCCGCAUGGCAGAGGGUGAAAAGAGAAUCGCUAUGAGAUGGACCCGCGUCUGAUUAGCCAGUUGGCAGGGUAAGAGCCUACCAAAGCGACGAUCAGUAGCCGAUCUGAGAGGAUGAACGGCCACAUUGGGACUGAGACACGGCCCAAACUCCUACGGGAGGCAGCAGUGGGGGAUAUUGCACAAUGGGGGGAACCCUGAUGCAGCGACGCCGCGUGAGUGAAGAAGUAUUUCGGUAUGUAAAGCUCUAUCAGCAGGGAAGAUAAUGACAGUACCUGAAUAAGAAGCCCCGGCUAACUACGUG
rnacentral:rRNA from 1 species